rnacentral:rRNA from 1 species
UACGUAGGCACCAAGCGUUGUCCGGAUUUAUUGGGCGUAAAGAGCUCGUAGGCGGUUCGGUAAGUCGGGUGUGAAAACUCUGGGCUCAACCCAGAGCCGCCACCCGAUACUGCUGUGACUCGAGUGCGGUAGGGGAGCGGGGAAUUCCUGGUGUAGCGGUGGAAUGCGCAGAUAUCAGGAAGAACACCCGUGGCGAAGGCGGUUCUCUGGGACGGUACUGACGCUGGAGACGCGAAAGCGUGGGGAGCGAACAGG